AAAGAUACAUCUUCAAGCGGUGGGAUCA
rnacentral:rRNA from 1 species